UACGAAGGGGGCUAGCGUUACUCGGAUUGACUGGGCGUAAAGGGCGCGUAGGCGGCUUGUUCAGUCAGACGUGAAAUUCCUGGGCUCAACCUGGGGGCUGCGUUUGAUACGUGCGGGCUUGAGUUCGGAAGAGGGUCGUGGAAUUCCCAGUGUAGAGGUGAAAUUCGUAGAUAUUGGGAAGAACACCGGUGGCGAAGGCGGCGACCUGGUCCGAUACUGACGCUGAGGCGCGAAAGCGUGGGGAGCAAACAGG
rnacentral:rRNA from 1 species